UCCGAGUUGACCCCGGCAGUCUCCCAUGAGUCCCCAACCCUCCGAAGAGGUUGCUGGCAACAUGGAACAAGGGUUGCGCUCGUUGCGGGACUUAACCCAACAUCUCACGACACGAGCUGACGACAGCCAUGCACCACCUGUCACCCAGUCCGAAGAAGCCCCCAUCUCUGGGAGUGUCCGGGUGAUGUCAAACCUUGGUAAGGUUCUUCGCGUUGCGUCGAAUUAAGCAACAUGCUCCGCCGCUUGUGCGGACCCCCGUCAAUUCCUUUGAGUUUUAGCCUUGCGGCCGUACUCCCCAGGCGGGGCGCUUAAUGCGUUAGCUCCGGCACGGAACCCGUGGAAGGGUCCCACACCUAGCGCCCAACGUUUACGGCGUGGACUAC
rnacentral:misc_RNA from 1 species